CACGUAGGGUGCGAGCGUUGUCCGGAAUUAUUGGGCGUAAAGAGCUCGUAGGCGGUGUGUCGCGUCGGCCGUGAAAACCUGCAGCUUAACUGUGGGCUUGCGGUCGAUACGGGCAUCACUGGAGUUCGGCAGGGGAGACUGGAAUUCCUGGUGUAGCGGUGAAAUGCGUAGAUAUCAGGAGGAACACCGAUGGCGAAGGCAGGUCUCUGGGCAUUAACUGACGCUGAGGAGCGAAAGCAUGGGGAGCGAACAGG
rnacentral:rRNA from 1 species